AGGACUUGACAUGGAGAGGAAUGGCCCAGAGAUGGGUUUGCCCGCAAGGGCCUCUAGCAC
rnacentral:rRNA from 1 species